UAGUGAGUUUGAUCUGGCUCAGGAUGAACGCUGGCGGCGUGCCUAAUACAUGCAAGUCGAACGAAGCCUUCGGGCUUAGUGGCGCACGGGUGCGUAACGCGUGGGAAUCUGCCCUUGGGUACGGAAUAACAGUGAGAAAUUACUGCUAAUACCGUAUGAUGUCUUCGGACCAAAGAUUUAUCGCCCAGGGAUGAGCCCGCGUAGGAUUAGCUAGUUGGUGAGGUAAAAGCUCACCGAGGCGACGAUCCUUAGCUGGUCUGAGAUGAUGAUCAGCCACACUGGGACUGAGACACGGCCCAGACUCCUACGGGAGGCAGCAGUGGGGAAUAUUGGACAAUGGGCGGAAGCCUGAUCCAGCAAUGCCGCGUGAGUGAUGAAGG
rnacentral:rRNA from 1 species